UACGUAGGCAGCAAGCGUUUGUUCGGAGUUACUGGGCGUAAAGGGUGUGUAGGCGGUCUUCUAAGUUUUGGUGUGAAAUCUCCCGGCUCAACUGGGAGGGUGCGCCGAAAACUGGUAGGCUAGAGUGCGGGAUGGGAGAGUGGAAUUCCUGGUGUAGCGGUGAAAUGCGUAGAUAUCAGGAGGAACACCUGUGGUGUAGACGGCUCUCUGGACCGCAACUGACGCUGAGACACGAAAAGCGUGGGUAGCAAACAGG
rnacentral:rRNA from 1 species